GACGAACGCUGGCGGCGCGCCUAACACAUGCAAGUCGAACGAGCGAGAGAGAGCUUGCUUUCUUGAGCGAGUGGCGAACGGGUGAGUAACGCGUGAGGAACCUGCCUCAAAGAGGGGGACAACAGUUGGAAACGACUGCUAAUACCGCAUAAGCCCACGACCCGGCAUCGGGUUGAGGGAAAAGGAGCAAUCCGCUUUGAGAUGGCCUCGCGUCCGAUUAGCUGGUUGGUGAGGUAACGGCCCACCAAGGCGACGAUCGGUAGCCGGACUGAGAGGUUGAACGGCCACAUUGGGACUGAGACACGGCCCAGACUCCUACGGGAGGCAGCAGUGGGGAAUAUUGCACAAUGGGGGAAACCCUGAUGCAGCGACGCCGCGUGGAGGAAGAAGGUCUUCGGAUUGUAAACUCCUGUUGUUGAGGAAGAUAAUGACGGUACUCAACAAGGAAGUGACGGCUAACUACGUCCCAGCAGCCGCGGUAAAACGUAGGUCACAAGCGUUGUCCGGAAUUACUGGGUGUAAAGGGAGCGCAGGCGGGAAGACAAGUUGGAAGUGAAAUCUAUGGGCUCAACCCAUAAACUGCUUUCAAAACUGUUUUUCUUGAGUAGUGCAGAGGUAGGCGGAAUUCCCGGUGUAGCGGUGGAAUGCGUAGAUAUCGGGAGGAACACCAGUGGCGAAGGCGGCCUACUGGGCACCAACUGACGCUGAGGCUCGAAAGUGUGGGUAGCAAACAGG
rnacentral:rRNA from 1 species